rnacentral:rRNA from 1 species
UACGUAGGGUGCGAGCGUUGUCCGGAAUUAUUGGGCGUAAAGAGCUUGUAGGCGGUCUGUCGCGUCUGCUGUGAAAACCCAGGGCUUAACCCUGGGCUGGCAGUGGAUACGGACAGACUAGAGGUAGGUAGGGGAGAAUGGAAUUCCCGGUGUAGCGGUGAAAUGCGCAGAUAUCAGGAGGAACACCAAUGGCGAAGGCAGCUCGCUGGGACGGUACUGACGCUGAGACGCGAAAGCGUGGGGAGCAAACAGG